AGUCCAGGACGCUGUUGGGGAAUGAGGGUCUCUUACAUUGGCAGCAGCGAUGGUCUGACAGCGGUCAGCAAAAUCUGCCUUCCAAGUUAAAAACUGACCACGGGUAAGCACAGCCUGGACUAUACGCAGCCAUUCACCUGGGAGUAAAUGUCCUCCUCGAGACAGCGAAUCAAGAACAGAAAGGGUAAAAGGGGCAUUGGGGCCAUAAGCUUUAACGGCCGCGUUCAGCUCUUUUAAGCUUUUGAAAUGGAUUUUGUGAAAUUCUCUAGGGCCAUCAGCAGGCUCGGCCGGCUCUGGCUCAGCCUGCUCCUCUCCCUCACUUUCUAUUUCCUGAGCAGCAGGGGCGUCUUCGCCGUCGCUUUCAAGAUCGCCCUCUUCCGGACUAUGUGUUGUGGAGGUGGGGCCAGAGCGGGCGGAGGCCCGGGAUGAAUUUCGGGGCCAUUAAUGAUAAACCACGGACAGACUUCAUCAACAAAAAUAAAAAACUUUACCAAGUCUUUCUUUUUAACUCGAA